rnacentral:rRNA from 1 species
GGUUAAGCGACUAAGCGUACACGGUGGAUGCCCUGGCAGUCAGAGGCGAUGAAGGACGUGCUAAUCUGCGAUAAGCGUCGGUAAGGUGAUAUGAACCGUUAUAACCGGCGAUUUCCGAAUGGGGAAACCCAGUGUGUUUCGACACACUAUCAUUAACUGAAUCCAUAGGUUAAUGAGGCGAACCGGGGGAACUGAAACAUCUAAGUACCCCGAGGAAAAGAAAUCAACCGAGAUUCCCCCAGUAGCGGCGAGCGAACGGGGAGGAGCCCAGAGCCUGAAUCAGUGUGUGUGUUAGUGGAAGCGUCUGGAAAGGCGCGCGAUACAGGGUGACAGCCCCGUACACAAAAAUGCACAUGCUGUGAGCUCGAUGAGUAGGGCGGGACACGUGGUAUCCUGUCUGAAUAUGGGGGGACCAUCCUCCAAGGCUAAAUACUCCUGACUGACCGAUAGUGAACCAGUACCGUGAGGGAAAGGCGAAAAGAACCCCGGCGAGGGGAGUGAAAAAGAACCUGAAACCGUGUACGUACAAGCAGUGGGAGCACGCUUAGGCGUGUGACUGCGUACCUUUUGUAUAAUGGGUCAGCGACUUAUAUUCUGUAGCAAGGUUAACCGAAUAGGGGAGCCGAAGGGAAACCGAGUCUUAACUGGGCGUUAAGUUGCAGGGUAUAGACCCGAAACCCGGUGAUCUAGCCAUGGGCAGGUUGAAGGUUGGGUAACACUAACUGGAGGACCGAACCGACUAAUGUUGAAAAAUUAGCGGAUGACUUGUGGCUGGGGGUGAAAGGCCAAUCAAACCGGGAGAUAGCUGGUUCUCCCCGAAAGCUAUUUAGGUAGCGCCUCGUGAAUUCAUCUCCGGGGGUAGAGCACUGUUUCGGCAAGGGGGUCAUCCCGACUUACCAACCCGAUGCAAACUGCGAAUACCGGAGAAUGUUAUCACGGGAGACACACGGCGGGUGCUAACGUCCGUCGUGAAGAGGGAAACAACCCAGACCGCCAGCUAAGGUCCCAAAGUCAUGGUUAAGUGGGAAACGAUGUGGGAAGGCCCAGACAGCCAGGAUGUUGGCUUAGAAGCAGCCAUCAUUUAAAGAAAGCGUAAUAGCUCACUGGUCGAGUCGGCCUGCGCGGAAGAUGUAACGGGGCUAAACCAUGCACCGAAGCUGCGGCAGCGACGCUUAUGCGUUGUUGGGUAGGGGAGCGUUCUGUAAGCCUGUGAAGGUGUGCUGUGAGGCAUGCUGGAGGUAUCAGAAGUGCGAAUGCUGACAUAAGUAACGAUAAAGCGGGUGAAAAGCCCGCUCGCCGGAAGACCAAGGGUUCCUGUCCAACGUUAAUCGGGGCAGGGUGAGUCGACCCCUAAGGCGAGGCCGAAAGGCGUAGUCGAUGGGAAACAGGUUAAUAUUCCUGUACUUGGUGUUACUGCGAAGGGGGGACGGAGAAGGCUAUGUUGGCCGGGCGACGGUUGUCCCGGUUUAAGCGUGUAGGCUGGUUUUCCAGGCAAAUCCGGAAAAUCAAGGCUGAGGCGUGAUGACGAGGCACUACGGUGCUGAAGCAACAAAUGCCCUGCUUCCAGGAAAAGCCUCUAAGCAUCAGGUAACAUCAAAUCGUACCCCAAACCGACACAGGUGGUCAGGUAGAGAAUACCAAGGCGCUUGAGAGAACUCGGGUGAAGGAACUAGGCAAAAUGGUGCCGUAACUUCGGGAGAAGGCACGCUGAUAUGUAGGUGAAGCGACUUGCUCGUGGAGCUGAAAUCAGUCGAAGAUACCAGCUGGCUGCAACUGUUUAUUAAAAACACAGCACUGUGCAAACACGAAAGUGGACGUAUACGGUGUGACGCCUGCCCGGUGCCGGAAGGUUAAUUGAUGGGGUCAGCGCAAGCGAAGCUCUUGAUCGAAGCCCCGGUAAACGGCGGCCGUAACUAUAACGGUCCUAAGGUAGCGAAAUUCCUUGUCGGGUAAGUUCCGACCUGCACGAAUGGCGUAAUGAUGGCCAGGCUGUCUCCACCCGAGACUCAGUGAAAUUGAACUCGCUGUGAAGAUGCAGUGUACCCGCGGCAAGACGGAAAGACCCCGUGAACCUUUACUAUAGCUUGACACUGAACAUUGAGCCUUGAUG